UAAGGAAUAUUGCUCAAUGGGAGAAAUCCUGAAGCAGCAACGCCGCGUGGAGGAUGAAGGGUUUUUAACUUGUAAACUCCUGUAAAGAAGGAAAAAAUUCCCAUUAGAUGGGAAAUGAUGGUACUUCUGGAGUAAGCCCCGGCUAACUACGUGCCAGCAGCCGCGGUAAUACGUAGGGGGCAAGCGUUGUCCGGAUUUACUGGGUGUAAAGGGUGCUCAGGCGGAUUUGUAAGUCAGAGGUGAAAUCUCACAGCUUAACUGUGAAACUGCCUUUGAUACUGCAAGCCUAGAGUAUGGAAGAGAGUGAUGGAAUAUCUGGUGUAGCAGUGAAAUGCGUAGAUAUCAGAUAGAACACCAAUGGCGAAGGCAGUCACUUGGUCCAUAACUGACGCUAAAGCACGAAAGCGUGGGUAGCAAAACAGGAUUAGAUACCCUGGUAGUCCACGCCCUAAACGAUGAAUACUAGAUGUUGGCUUCGCAUGAAGUCAGUAUCUGAGCUAACGCAUUAAGUAUCCCACCUGGGAAGUACGAUCGCAGGUUGAAACUCAAAUGAAUUGACGGGGUCAUAGCUGUUUCCUG
rnacentral:rRNA from 1 species